UUCCCAGAGUUUUUUGAUCAUGGCUCAGAUUGAACGCUGGCGGCAGGCCUAACACAUGCAAGUCGAGCGGAUGAAGGGAGCUUGCUCCUGGAUUCAGCGGCGGACGGGUGAGUAAUGCCUAGGAAUCUGCCUGGUAGUGGGGGAUAACGUCCGGAAACGGGCGCUAAUACCGCAUACGUCCUGAGGGAGAAAGUGGGGGAUCUUCGGACCUCACGCUAUCAGAUGAGCCUAGGUCGGAUUAGCUAGUUGGUGGGGUAAAGGCCUACCAAGGCGACGAUCCGUAACUGGUCUGAGAGGAUGAUCAGUCACACUGGAACUGAGACACGGUCCAGACUCCUACGGGAGGCAGCAGUGGGGAAUAUUGGACAAUGGGCGAAAGCCUGAUCCAGCCAUGCCGCGUGUGUGAAGAAGGUCUUCGGAUUGUAAAGCACUUUAAGUUGGGAGGAAGGGCAGUAAGUUAAUACCUUGCUGUUUUGACGUUACCAACAGAAUAAGCACCGGCUAACUUCGUGCCAGCAGCCGCGGUAAUACGAAGGGUGCAAGCGUUAAUCGGAAUUACUGGGCGUAAAGCGCGCGUAGGUGGUUCAGCAAGUUGGAUGUGAAAUCCCCGGGCUCAACCUGGGAACUGCAUCCAAAACUACUGAGCUAGAGUACGGUAGAGGGUGGUGGAAUUUCCUGUGUAGCGGUGAAAUGCGUAGAUAUAGGAAGGAACACCAGUGGCGAAGGCGACCACCUGGACUGAUACUGACACUGAGGUGCGAAAGCGUGGGGAGCAAACAGGAUUAGAUACCCUGGUAGUCCACGCCGUAAACGAUGUCGACUAGCCGUUGGGAUCCUUGAGAUCUUAGUGGCGCAGCUAACGCGAUAAGUCGACCGCAUGGGAGUCC
rnacentral:rRNA from 1 species